UACAGAGGGUGCGAGCGUUAAUCGGAAUGACUGGGCGUAAAGGGCGUGCAGGUGGCUAUGUGUGUUGGAUGUGAAAGCCCCGGGCUUAACCUGGGAAUGGCAUACAAAACUGCAUAUCUAGAGUGGAGCAGAGGUGAGUGGAAUUUCCGGAGUAGCGGUGAAAUGCGUAGAUACCGGAAGGAACACCAGUGGCGAAGGCGGGUAGCUGGGCCGACACUGACGCUGAGGCGCGAAAGCCAGGGGAGCGAACGGG
rnacentral:rRNA from 1 species